AUUGAACGCUGGCGGCAUGCCUUACACAUGCAAGUCGAACGGCAGCACGGGAGCAAUCCUGGUGGCGAGUGGCGAACGGGUGAGUAAUACAUCGGAACGUGCCCAAUCGUGGGGGAUAACGCAGCGAAAGCUGUGCUAAUACCGCAUACGAUCUACGGAUGAAAGCAGGGGACCGCAAGGCCUUGCGCGAAUGGAGCGGCCGAUGGCAGAUUAGGUAGUUGGUGAGGUAAAGGCUCACCAAGCCUUCGAUCUGUAGCUGGUCUGAGAGGA
rnacentral:rRNA from 1 species